GACGAACGCUGGCGGCGUGCUUAACACAUGCAAGUCGAACGGAAAGGCCCUUUUGGGGGGGCACGCGCGGGGAGCGGGGGAGUAACACACGGGUGAAAUGCCCUCCACUUUGUGUGAAACCUGGGAAACAAGGUGGAAUACAGGAGAGGACUGCGCGCGGCAUGUGGUGUGGGGGGGAGCGUUUGCGGGGUGGGGGGGGCGCGCGGCUUAUCAGCUUGUUGGUGGGGGGAUGGCUUACCAAGGCGAGGUGGGGUGGCCGGCCGGAGAGGGUGUCCGGCCACAUUGGGACUGAGAUACGGCCCAGACUCCUACGGGAGGCAGCAGUGGGGAAUAUUGCACAAUGGGCGCAAGCCUGAUGCAGCAACGCCGCGUGGGGGAUGACGGCCUUCGGGUUGUAACCCCCUUUCAGCAGGGACGAAGCGUGAGUGACGGUAUUUGGUAAAGAAGCACCGGCUAACUACGUG
rnacentral:rRNA from 1 species